GCUUGCUCCUGAAUUCAGCGGCGGACGGGUGAGUAAUGCCUAGGAAUCUGCCUGGUAGUGGGGGAUAACGUCCGGAAACGGGCGCUAAUACCGCAUACGUCCUGAGGGAGAAAGUGGGGGAUCUUCGGACCUCACGCUAUCAGAUGAGCCUAGGUCGGAUUAGCUAGUUGGUGGGGUAAAGGCCUACCAAGGCGACGAUCCGUAACUGGUCUGAGAGGAUGAUCAGUCACACUGGAACUGAGACACGGUCCAGACUCCUACGGGAGGCAGCAGUGGGGAAUAUUGGACAAUGGGCGAAAGCCUGAUCCAGCCAUGCCGCGUGUGUGAAGAAGGUCUUCGGAUUGUAAAGCACUUUAAGUUGGGAGGAAGGGCAGUAAGUUAAUACCUUGCUGUUUUGACGUUACCAACAGAAUAAGCACCGGCUAACUUCGUGCCAGCAGCCGCGGUAAUACGAAGGGUGCAAGCGUUAAUCGGAAUUACUGGGCGUAAAGCGCGCGUAGGUGGUUCAGCAAGUUGGAUGUGAAAUCCCCGGGCUCAACCUGGGAACUGCAUCCAAAACUACUGAACUAGAGUACGGUAGAGGGUGGUGGAAUUUCCUGUGUAGCGGUGAAAUGCGUAAAUAUAUGAAGGAACACCAGUGGCGAAGGCUAUCACCUGGACUGAUACUGACACUGAGGCGCGAAAGCGUGAGGAGCAAACAGGGUUAGAUACCCUGGGAGUCCACGCCCUAAACGAUGUCGACUAUCCCUUGGG
rnacentral:rRNA from 1 species